rnacentral:tRNA from 1 species
ACCUGGCUGGCCCAAUCAGUGGAGCAUGAGACUCUUGAUCUCGAGGUUGUGAGUUCAAGCCCCAUGCUGGAUG